GGACACACUCUAAUAUUCUUAUUUCCUUCUGCAACUGUGGCACCCAAACCUGCACCCAGUGCUUGGGGUGAGGCCUCACAGAGCAGAGCAGAGCGGGACAAGCCCUCCCCUCACCUGGCUUGCAGUGUGAAUGAGAACAAGAUAUUGAAUGGGCAGAGGACUAAAAAUGAGACACCAUUCAAGAAGCAUGAGAAACAGGGCAAGAAUUUCAGAGUUGUUGCAAUUUUAAGGGUUUGCAGCACAUCUGUCAGUGACUACUGACUCUGAUGGCCUCAGUGCCAUGAGGAUUGACCUGCUCCAGCAGCCACAAGGCAAACUGACAAAAGGAAGGAGCAAUUCACUGGACCUUAAAGAUAAAUACUUCCA
rnacentral:lncRNA from 1 species